rnacentral:rRNA from 1 species
GCGCGAAACCUCUGCAAUAAGCGAAAGCUUGACAGGGUUACUCUGAGUGAUUUCCGCUAAGGAAGUCUUUUGGCACCUCUAAAAAUGGUGCAGAAUAAGGGGUGGGCAAGUCUGGUGUCAGCCGCCGCGGUAAUACCAGCACCCCGAGUGGUCGGGACGAUUAUUGGGCCUAAAGCAUCCGUAGCCGGUCCUGCAAGUCCUCCGUUAAAUCCACCCGCUCAACGGUUGGGCCGCGGGGGAUACUACAGGGCUAGGAGGCGGGAGAGGCAAGCGGUACUCGAUGGGUAGGGGUAAAAUCCACUGAUCCAUUGAAGACCACCAGUGGCGAAGGCGGCUUGCCAGAACGCGCUCGACGGUGAGGGAUGAAAGCUGGGGGAGCAAACCGGAUUAGAUACCCGGGUAGUCCCAGCUGUAAACGAUGCAGACUCGGUGAUGGGCUGGCUUCGUGCCAACCCGGUGCCGCAGGGAAGCCGUUAAGUCUGCCGCCUGGGGAGUACGGUCGCAAGACUGAAACUUAAAGGAAUUGGCGGGGGAGCAACCG